CUUCUGGCAAGUUGAUAGACCCACAGGAGGGACUUGCAGAAACCAGCAGGUCCUCUCUAAUCACCCUGAGACCCUGUCCAGGUUUGUAAUGCCACUCUUCUUCCAUCUGCAGUUGCUGUUGAUGAAACACCUCCCGCAGACUCUGGUGAUGAUAUAAAGGAAAGGGCUUCAGAAGGAGCUUUGGUGGAUGUUGCUGACCUGCUGGAAAGCAUUCUGAGAUCUCUGGGUGAUACCCUCGUUGGGACGGUGCGGCUGCUGUUUGGUGGAAAAAAGCGUGCGUGGGAAGGCUAAAGGGCAACCAGUACAGUAAAUAUCUUCCUUUCUAAGGCAUCCUACGACAUCCCUGCUUCUGCACAGCCGUUGCUGCAACUCCCUGAUGCUGGAUCUCAUUGAAUUCCAAGUGCUGCCUGUGACACCAGCUCCUCCUGUCGCUCUUCUUGCAUGGGAUCCAUUCUGCAUGCUCAUUACCCGUGGCAAAAGCUACCAAUAAAGCAAAAUUCAAA